CGGGGGGAGCAAGCGUUCGUUCGGAUUUACUGGGCGUAAAGGGCGCGUAGGCGGCCACCGCAAGUCGACUGUGAAAUCUCCGGGCUUAACCCGGAAAGGUCAGCCGAUACUGCGGGGCUAGAGUGCAGAAGGGGCAACUGGAAUUCUCGGUGUAGCGGUGAAAUGCGUAGAUAUCGAGAGGAACACCUGCGGCGAAGGCGGGUUGCUGGGCUGACACUGACGCUGAUGCGCGAAAGCUAGGGGAGCGAACGGGAUUAGAUACCCCGGUAGUCCUAGCCUUAAACGAUGAAUGCUUGGUGUCUGGGGUUUUAUAGUCCCCGGGUGCCGUCGCUAACGCUUUAAGCAUUCCGCCUGGGGAUACGGUCGCAAGACUG
rnacentral:rRNA from 1 species